rnacentral:rRNA from 1 species
CUCACGCCAUCGGAUGUGCCCAGAUGGGAUUAGCUAGUAGGUGGGGUAAUGGCUCACCUAGGCGACGAUCCCUAGCUGGUCUGAGAGGAUGACCAGCCACACUGGAACUGAGACACGGUCCAGACUCCUACGGGAGGCAGCAGUGGGGAAUAUUGCACAAUGGGCGCAAGCCUGAUGCAGCCAUGCCGCGUGUGUGAAGAAGGCCUUCGGGUUGUAAAGCACUUUCAGCGAGGAGGAAGGCAUAAAGGUUAAUAACCUUUGUGAUUGACGUUACUCGCAGAAGAAGAACCGUGUGGAGCCGGAAC